rnacentral:lncRNA from 1 species
AGCAAUUAAUUAACGAAAUAUAGCAAAAAAAUGUCACAAAGUUACGAAAUUUGUUGAGGUGUUACAAAAUCACAUGUGAAGCCUAUGUUAAAAAUUUCAAAAAAAAUUAAAUCAAGUUUAGUGCUAUAAAAAAAGAAAAAAAUACAUAAAUCUUUGCCGACUGCCUCAGUCUACGGCAGUCGACAAAGAGUUAUAUAAGAAUAUCUGCUUGGGCUUUGCCGACUGCCUGUUCCUGGAGCAGUCGGCAAAGGACUUGCCCUAAAAUAAUUGAGGCCCGGCCCAUCUCCCACCCUUAUCCCCUCCCUCUCAUCUCCCACCCGCGCCGCCACCCCCUCUACCGCCGCCGGCCUGCCCCGCGCCCGCGAGCCUGCCCUAGGCAAUUCUCCCCUGAAAUCUUAAUGAACGGCUUAUAUAGGAAAACUUUGUGGUUGGGAUGAUCUCAUCAUUUAAACAACUCAUGGUAUAAAUACCAUUCCAAAACUUAACUUUCAAUUUACUCCCUUAUUUGUUUAUUUCAGUUAACAAAUAUAUAUAUAUAUAAUAUAAUAUAAACUUACAACUGAAUUUCGCCCUUUUGUAAAAUUUGCCCAG